CUAUUCUGCUUUAUAAAAUAGCCCACGACAUCUAGGGAAUUUGUGCAGAACUGUCUUACCAAUACAAUGGAAAUUGUUACUUCUAGAAGAAUUUCCAUUAGCCCUUUGAAAUCCUUCAACAUUCAUUAAGGCCAAGGAAUUUUCACCUAAUUCAAUCUGAUGGGUGCAAGAACAGGGUCUUUCUAGGGAAUACAGACUCCCAGAUUGUUCAGUUGGGAAGUAAGGGGAGAAUUUAUUACUUAAAAUCAAAGGGAAAUGAAAAGAGGCCAACCCAGAAUGUUAUUACUCUCUUUCUCAGGUGGGGGAUUGAGUUCCAAGUCUUUCUGCUCCCUUCACAUGGCCUCCUUACUCAGCAUCUAAAAGCUUUGAGUCUUGGGCACACCCAGCUAGGUUCUCUUCUAAUGUAACAGAAUCUGCUUCAGCAAAGCCAUCUCCAGACUCCAGAAAUGAUAGGUUAUAAAUUACUGAGUCUCCCACUGGAUAUAAUGAAGUGCAAGUUAGUGCCAUCCUGAAUGACCACUUCACACGCUGCUGCUGCUGCUAAGUCGCUUCAGUCGUGUCUGACCCCGUGCGACCCCAUAGACGGCAG
rnacentral:lncRNA from 1 species